GACGAACGCUGGCGGCGUGCUUAACACAUGCAAGUCGAGCGGUAAGGCCCUUUCGGGGGUACACGAGCGGCGAACGGGUGAGUAACACGUGGGUGACCUGCCCUUAGCUCUGGGAUAAGCCUGGGAAACUGGGUCUAAUACCGGAUAUGACUCCAUAACGCAUGUUGUGGGGUGGAAAGCCUUGUGCGGCUAGGGAUGGGCCCGCGGCCUAUCAGCUUGUUGGUGGGGUGAUGGCCUACCAAGGCGACGACGGGUAGCCGGCCUGAGAGGGCGACCGGCCACACUGGGACUGAGGACACGGCCCAGACUCCUACGGGAGGCAGCAGUGGGGAAUCUUGCGCAAUGGGCGAAAGCCUGACGCAGCGACGCCGCGU
rnacentral:rRNA from 1 species